UUUCCGUAGGUGAACCUGCGGAAGGAUCAUUAUUGAAUAUGCUUGAUAGGUUGUAGCUGGCUCUUCGGAGUAUGUGCACGCUUAUCUUGACUUAAUUCAUCCACCUGUGCACCUUUUGUAGUCUUGGGGGUUGAGAUCGGUCGACUAUCGGAUGGCCGAGGUCAUUCCGGAUGUGAGGAAUGCUGAGUGCGAAAGCAUACAGCUCUUCUCAAAUGACUUGUCUUCCUCGAGUACUAUGUAUUCAUAUACCACAUAGUAUGUUGUAGAAUGUGAUCAAUGGGUCUAUGUACCUAUAAUAAUUAUAUACAACUUUCAGCAACGGAUCUCUUGGCUCUC
rnacentral:misc_RNA from 1 species